rnacentral:lncRNA from 1 species
GCUCACAGCCUCACUCCCCCCUCUUCCUUGAUCAUCCCUCGCACGCUCCCCACUCAGAGCUUUGGCACGGUGCCUGCUGUUCCUCCACCUGGAACAUUCUUUUUGCAGGGAUCCACGGACCUGGCUCCCUCAUCUCCCCCAACUCUCAUCUUCCCAGGGGGUUCUUCCUGAAUCACUCCACACAAAGCCACAGUACCCCUCCCCAACCCUCAGUACCGACCCUCUACCCUCUUUUCACAUACUAUGCAUUUUGAUUCCUGUACACUGUGUAGCUCACCACAUCAAGUGGUGACAUUUAUGAAGCU